rnacentral:rRNA from 1 species
UAGGGAAUCUUCGGCAAUGGGGGGAACCCUGACCGAGCAACGCCGCGUGAGUGAAGAAGGUUUUCGGAUCGUAAAGCUCUGUUGUUAAGGAAGAACGAGUGUGAGAAUGGAAAGUUCAUGCUGUGACGGUACUUAACCAGAAAGGGACGGCUAACUACGUGCCAGCAGCCGCGGUAAUACGUAGGUCCCGAGCGUUGUCCGGAUUUAUUGGGCGUAAAGCGAGCGCAGGCGGUUAGAAAAGUCUGAAGUGAAAGGCAGUGGCUCAACCAUUGUAGGCUUUGGAAACUGUUUAACUUGAGUGCAGAAAGGGAGAGUGGAAUUCCAUGUGUAGCGGUGAAAUGCGUAGAUAUAUGGAAGAACACCGGUGGCGAAAGCGGCUCUCUGGUCUGUAACUGUCGCUGAGGCUCGAAAGCGUGGGGAGCGAACAGG